rnacentral:lncRNA from 1 species
CCCUCUCCCUCUCCCUCUCCCUCUCCCUCUCCCUCUCUCCACGGUCUCCUUCCACGGUCUCCCUCUGAUGCCGAGCCAAAGCUGGACGGUACUGCUGCCAUCUCGGCUCACUGCAACCUCCCUGCCUGAUUCUCCUGCCUCAGCCUGCCGAGUGCCUGCGAUUGCAGGCGCGCGCCGCCACGCCUGAGUGGUUUUCGUUUUUUUUUUGGUGGAGACGGGGUUUUGCUGUGUUGGCCGGGCUGGUCUCCAGCUCCUAACCGCGAGUGAUCCGCCAGCCUCGGCCUCCCGAGGUGCCGGGAUUGCAGACGGAGUCUCGUUCACUCAGUGCUCAAUGGUGCCCAGGCUGGAGUGCAAUGGCGUGAUCUCGGCUCGCUACAACCUCCACCUCCCAGCCGCCUGCCUUGGCCCCCCAAAGUGCCGAGAUUGCAGCCUCUGCCCAGCCGCCACCCCGUCUGGGAAGUGAGGAGCGUCUCUGCCUGCCCCCCCAUCGUCUGGGAUAUGAGGAGCCUCUCUGCCUGGCUGCCCAGUCUGGAAAUGUUGUGGCCAUGUGUGUUGGUGAUACCUGGAGUUCAGCAAGCCAUCUUGCCACCGUGAGAGGAGUUGGCCAAUGGCCCAGAUGAUACACCAAAGAUGGCAGAGGGGAGAGAUGAAAAGGAAUCUGGAUCUUCUACGUGAAUGAGUCACUAAAUUAACCAACUCUGGGGGUGGGCGCAGUGGCUCACACCUGUAAUCCCAGCACUUUGGGAGGCCAAAGCAAGUUGGACUGCUUGUGUCCAGGAGUUCAAGACCAGCCUCGGCAACAUAGCGAAACCCCGUUUCUACAAAAACUACAAAAUUAGCAGGGCGUGCUGGGUUGAGUUCUGGCCACUGAUUUGCUGAGUGACCUUUGACAAAUCGCUGUACCUUGCUGGUCUCCUAAAUGGGGUGACCAUGGGAGCAGAUUCUCCACGUUCUGGACUUGGCACUCUUCUCAUCUGACUGCACAGUAUGUUUUGGGGUUCUCAUCUACCACCACCCAGGGCUGAUGGCUCCCAAAUCUAAGUUCUGGCCCAGACUCCUUUCCCCAGGUCCACACUCAUGUGUUCAACCAGUUGUUGGACAAUUCCUCUGGGCUUUCCCAAAGGCCCCAAAUUAAACUAAUCUUCUUCUUGUUUAAAUCAAACAAAUUUAAACAAAUUAAAUUAAUUUUCCCUGCAAACCUCUUCCGCUUCCUUUUUAUGCCAUGUCUUGGGGAAUCACAUCACCAUGUCAGGAAUCUUAUGUCAUUCCUUCCUCCCCUACCUUUGCACCUGAGAUCCUAGUGGUCACCAAGUCCCUUCUCUCCUGUGCAUCCCCCUCCUUGUAUUCCCACCACUACUGCCCUAGUUGGCACCUCAUUAAUUCCCACUGGAAUCACUGCAAAUGCUUCAUAACUGAUCUUUCUAUCUGACUUCAUUCUCCACACAUCCUGCAGCAUGAACUUUUUGAAGCACAGAUUUGUGAAUGCCUGUGCUCUGCUUAAAAGCAAUCAGAGGCCCCUCACUAAUAAGGAAUGAAAUUCAAACUCCUGG